rnacentral:rRNA from 1 species
UACGUAGGUGGCAAGCGUUAUCCGGAUUUACUGGGUGUAAAGGGCGUGUAGGCGGGAAAGCAAGUCAGAUGUGAAAACCAUGGGCUCAACCUGUGGCCUGCAUUUGAAACUGUUUUUCUUGAGUACUGGAGAGGCAGACGGAAUUCCUAGUGUAGCGGUGAAAUGCGUAGAUAUUAGGAGGAACACCAGUGGCGAAGGCGGUCUGCUGGACAGCAACUGACGCUGAGGCGCGAAAGCGUGGGUAUCGAACAGG